rnacentral:sRNA from 1 species
AUAAUAAAAAAGGGGCGAACGUAUUGGCCUAAUAAAAAAUCCCGGUCGCCGUAUUGGUAUACCGCAAAAUUUUGGUAAAAUCCCGGCUUUUUUAAAAUUUAUUCGCGCAAACAAAUUAAAAAUUGGAUAUACGUCCCUGUUACUUUAACAAAAAAAGUUAUUCGUGCCAAGCCAAAACAAUUUACAUUUUUACCUAUUAUAUAAAAUAUUAAACAACUGGUCCGUUAAUUAUAUGUACGAAUCCCUACCCAUAAUAUCCCCCCUUCCCAAUAUCGAUAGGUUAAUUUUAUUGCAUUCCGCAAAUAAAUAAAAAUCGUCCAACGUUAAUAAUAAUAAACGUUCCAAUUGCCACCACGGGAAUUAUAAAAAACGUAAUCGAUCCUUCCAAAUAUUUUAAAAAGGUUUUCCAAUUUGUGGAAAAUAUAAUUACAAUUGUCCUUUCGCGGUUGGAAGAUUUGAAAAUAUUUUUUUAUAUUAUUGUUAAAUUGGUUUUUUUAUUUCCGAUAAUUUGUUUAAAAGGCCCAGGCGGUGGCGAGCCCAUAACGCCAAUAAUAUCGCAUUUCGAUGCAUUUUUUCUUUAAUAUUUAUUUUGUUUAUGCUUUAAUUUUUUGCAACGGGUUUUAAAACCCCCGAAAAAUACGAAACGAAAAAAUUUCCCCGCACGGCCGAAAAAAAGCCGUUUUCCGAAAAUUGGGCGAUCCGCGGAUUUGUAUGGGCAAAAAUAAUUUUCCCGAAUAAUUAUUUUAUUUUUAAUAAAAAUAUGGGGGAAUAUAAAAAGAUAUUUAAAACGCCGUUAAUGGGAAAAUAACGUCGCGAAAAAUGUUUGUGGUUUGCGUACCAAAUCGCCCAAAUUGGAACGUCGGGAAACGCCGAUAAUAAAAAUAAAAAAAGCCGUUGGAUUACGUAUAAUUCCGACACGAAAAAAUUCCGUCCGGCCGCCAAAUAUAUGUUAGAUGUUAAAAUACGGCCUCCGGUUGCCAAAAUAACGUUUUUGGACGAUAAAAACGUUUUUCCAAAAACGGAGUUCGCGAAUAUUAAUUUGGGGCCAAAAAAUAUAUUUGGAGCAAUUUCGGUAUAAAAAUAAAAAAACGAUAAACCGAAUAUUAUUUAAUUUUCCGACAAAAUUUAAAAAAAUAAUAACGUGGAUAUAUAAUACCCCGCGCAGGAUAAUAUCCCGCGCAUUUAUCGAACCAAAUUGCAAAAUUAAUUUGACCACGCGUUUUUUCCACCAUAACAAAAUAUUAAUUAAUAUAAAAGAAUUUCAAAUAUUUUUUAUUAUUAAAAUUAUUUAGUCGGCCCGAAUAAUUAAUCGUCGAACUGCUGCAAAAAUUUUCGGUAUACCGGAAUUAAUAUUCCGCGAUAAAAUAAACGGAGUGGCCCUUUUGGUUAAUUAUCGGCCUGGUGUUUAAAAAUUAACCAAAAACGAAAAAGAUAUAAUUAUUUAAUAUAUUUUGGACCUGGAUUCCCGAGGGUUUCCGCCCCAAAUCGCUAAUAUGGUUGCUAUGGCCGGCCAUAUUUUCGCUGCGCGGGACGCGUUACCGGCCGGGACUCGCUGGGCAAAUCGCUUUAUUAAACGACGUACGGAAUUAAAAACGCGUUUUUUUCGCGCCUACGAUUUCCAAAAAACCUUUUGCGAAAAUUUUAACGCGUUAAACGCGUGGUUUCGAUUGGUGGCCAACACGAAGGCCAAAUACGGUAUCCACAAUUGCGACAUUUAUAAUUUUAACAAAACCGGCUUUAUAAUGGGCCAGAUUUGCGAUGGAAUAAUUAUAUCCGGGUCCGAAAAACGCGGAAAAAGCAAAAAAAUAUAACCUGGUAAUCGGGAAUGGGCUAUUGCAAUUUGCUGCAUUAAUGGUAACGGUUACGAUAUACCCCCAUUUUUUAUCGUUAAAAGCGUCCACCAUUUUGCGAAUUGGUAUAUAAAGGGCGGUUUCCCCGCAUUUUGGCGUAUAAAAAUUACCCCCAAUAAAUAGACAAAUAACAAAACAAACCUGGAUUGGGUUUAGCAUUUUGACAAUUAUAUAAAAUCGCGGAUAAAAAGCGCAUAUAAAAUACUGGUGCUCGAUAGGCAUAGUAAUUACCAAUUUCCCGAAUUUGAAAAUUAUUGCAAAAAUUACAAUAUUAUUCCGUUUUGUUUGCUUAUUUAUUUAUUUUACCUAACCUAACCAUUUAAUGUCGGAAUAUUUAAUAUAUUAAAACGGGCGUACGGUUAAAAAAUUAACGAUUUUAUUCGGGUUUAUAUUACCAAUAUUAGCAAAAUCGAAUUUUUUUUGGUAUUUGCAACGGUUUACAAAAAAUUUGUAAUAAAAGAAAAUAUAAUUGGGGGUUUUCGAGGGGCCGGAAUUAUUUUUUAUAACCCGGAAACGGUUAUAUCCAAAUUGGAUGUUAAAUUACGGAUAUUUUCACCCGAAAAACCUGCUUUUCCCAAUACCGACACCUGGGUUUUUCAAACGCCGCAUAACCCGACAAAAACGGUUUGUUAAUUAACGUUUAUUAAAAACCGGAUUUGUCAUUAUUAAAAUAAUUUACCAACGCUUAUUUUUAAAAUUGUAAAAUAAUUGGCGAAAAGUAUAAAACAAAUUACGUAUUAAAACAUUUUUUUUUUUGCGGAAAACCGUAACUUUCGGAAGGCCAACAAAAUAUUAAAUAAACGGCGCAAAACCAAAAAAACACGCAUCCGCGAAAAAGGGUCGUUUACCGUACAAAAUAUUUAAAAUUUAUUACAAUUAAAUAACGCGGAUAAUCCGGUACGGGAGGAAAAAAGUAAAAAUUGGGAGGGAAAUAGUGCGAAACCGGCGGUUAAAAAACGCUGUGGCAAUUGUGGCAAAACAGGACAUAAUGCACGCACCUGCCAGGAAAAUGCAAAAAUAUCUAAUGUAUUAAAUUCCAUUACUAUUUAGGUAAAUUAAUUAAUAUCGGCGUUGCAAUUAAAAUUGGAAAUUGUGUUAAGGUAGCAAAGUGCGCGGGGUAUUGUCCUGCGCGGGGUACUGUAUAUCCACGUUAGUAAAAGAGCGAAAUUUGAAUUUAAUUAUACCGUUCCCCUUUUCGAUAUAAAACAACCUGGAAUUCUGUAAGUCGAAAAUAUUAAACUAUUCCGAAAUGUAACCAGUGUGUUUAAACCUGUUAAUAAUAGUUUCGCGUAAUUUUACGUAGGUUUCGGUGCUACAAUAAAAAUAUCGGAAUAAUCCGUUCCUAAGGGUAAAAAUACAAUUGCUAAAAACAAAUAAACGUUAAUAAUAUUAUUGGAGGUUUUCGAUAAUUGGGGUGAAAUUAUAAUCGGUUUCAAAUAUAAUAAAUAUCGAGGUUAAUUUUAAAAAUAAAUUUAUUUAUACCGUAAUAAAUUUCCUUAUAUAACCUUUGGCCCAAAUGUAAUUUCUUUUAAUUUUUACAAAUUAUUUGACGUAAUUUGCUUUAACUUUAGUUCUAAUUUCGAAAAAUCACUCGAUUUUAUACCUUGGUAAUUAUAUAUGGUUACCCGAUUCCAUCCUUAUAAAAU